rnacentral:rRNA from 1 species
UACGAAGGGGGCUAGCGUUGCUCGGAAUCACUGGGCGUAAAGGGUGCGUAGGCGGGUCUUUAAGUCAGGGGUGAAAUCCUGGAGCUCAACUCCAGAACUGCCUUUGAUACUGAAGAUCUUGAGUUCGGGAGAGGUGAGUGGAACUGCGAGUGUAGAGGUGAAAUUCGUAGAUAUUCGCAAGAACACCAGUGGCGAAGGCGGCUCACUGGCCCGGAACUGACGCUGAGGUGCGAAAGCGUGGGGAGCAAACAGG